rnacentral:rRNA from 1 species
UACGUAGGGUGCGAGCGUUGUCCGGAAUUACUGGGCGUAAAGAGCUCGUAGGUGGUUUGUCGCGUUGUCCGUGAAAUUCCCUGGCUUAACUGGGGGCGUGCGGGCGAUACGGGCAGACUGGAGUACUGCAGGGGAGACUGGAAUUCCUGGUGUAGCGGUGGAAUGCGCAGAUAUCAGGAGGAACACCGGUGGCGAAGGCGGGUC